CCGACCUUAGCUCAGUUGGUAGAGCGGAGGACUGUAGUAUGCGCAGAUAAAUCCUUAGGUCGCUGGUUCGAAUCCGGCAGGUCGGA
rfam:Oryza punctata chromosome 2, whole genome shotgun sequence.